CCUACGGGAGGCAGCAGUGAGGAAUAUUGGUCAAUGGUCGGGAGACUGAACCAGCCAAGCCGCGUGAGGGAGGAAGGCACAGAAUAUCGUAAACCUCUUUUGUCAGGGAACAAAGACUGGGACGCGUCCCCGGAUGAGUGUACCUGAAGAAAAAGCAUCGGCUAACUCCGUGCCAGCAGCCGCGGUAAUACGGAGGAUGCGAGCGUUAUCCGGAUUUAUUGGGUUUAAAGGGUGCGUAGGCGGGCUGUUAAGUCAGCGGUCAAAUGUCGGGGCUCAACCCCCGCCUGCCGGUGAAACUGG
rnacentral:rRNA from 1 species